rnacentral:rRNA from 1 species
GAUGAACGCUGGCGGCGUGCCUAAUACAUGCAAGUCGAGCGAACAGAUGAGGAGCUUGCUCCUCUGACGUUAGCGGCGGACGGGUGAGUAACACGUGGAUAACCUACCUAUAAGACUGGGAUAACUUCGGGAAACCGGAGCUAAUACCGGAUAAUAUAUUGAACCGCAUGGUUCAAUAGUGAAAGACGGUUUUGCUGUCACUUAUAGAUGGAUCCGCGCCGCAUUAGCUAGUUGGUAAGGUAACGGCUUACCAAGGCAACGAUGCGUAGCCGACCUGAGAGGUUGAUGGGCCACACUGAAACUGGAACACGUUCCAGACUCCAACGGGAGGCGGCAUUGGGAAUUCUUCCGCAAUGGGCGAAGGCCUGACGAGGCACCGCCGCUGAGGUGAUGAAGGUCUUCGAUUCGUAAAACUCUGUAAUAGGGAAGAACAAAUGUGUAAGUAACUAUGCACGUCUUGACGGUACCUAAUCAGAAAGCCACGGCUAACUACGUG